UACGGAGGGGGCGAGUGUUGUUCGGAAUUACUGGGCGUAAAGGGCUCGUAGGUGGCCAACUAAGUCAGACGUGAAAUCCCUCGGCUUAACCGGGGAACUGCGUCUGAUACUGGAUGGCUUGAGUUCGGGAGAGGGAUGCGGAAUUCCAGGUGUAGCGGUGAAAUGCGUAGAUAUCUGGAGGAACACCGGUGGCGAAGGCGGCAUCCUGGACCGACACUGACGCUGAGGAGCGAAAGCCAGGGGAGCAAACGGG
rnacentral:rRNA from 1 species